CAACCAUAAAAGGGGCCUUGGUUCCCUGCCAAGCUCCCACAAACAACAUGAGAGAAUCAAGAAUAGCAGCAAUCAUGCCAAGACUCAAAACGUUCCUCAUUGUUCUUUUUCUGAUCCUUCUCUCUGAAUCAUCUUCAUGUCAAGCUGGAGGAAAUCAGGAUGGAAAAGAAUCUGUAUGCCUGGUGACCAAGAUAUACAUCAGAAAGGCAUUAUUGGAGACUACACUAGAUUAUGACUAUGGAAGACCCAACAUUAAACAUGACCCUACUGUGAAAGGAAAACCAGGGAUCGGUGGCAAGCCCUAGCUCGAUGCCUUUUCUAGGAGAUAUAUGCAUCCAAAAGUCCCAACUGGACUAAUCUCCUCCUACUGUUUUCUUCUUGACACACCUAUCUGCACCAGGACACCAUUCUAUAGAGAUGAGCCUCGACUGUUUGGCAAUAUGGAGAUUGCACUGUUCAUGUGGUUUUUAUUAGGGUAGGGGCUGCUCUGUUAGAUCGUUCUGUGCUGCUGAACUAUAUGUGUGGUUGUGUACUAGUUUGAAUCUGACGAGCCGUUGAAUCCAGAACUGAAGUAGAUUUGCAAUUUAGUAUUUGAUGUAACAGUCCUUAAUGGAAACAUAUUAUGAUCUUAUUUUAGAGAUAUCAUGCAUUACAACUGUUGACCA